rnacentral:rRNA from 1 species
CACGUAGGGUGCGAGCGUUGUCCGGAAUUAUUGGGCGUAAAGGGCGCGUAGGUGGCGCGGUAAGCGUGCGGUGAAAGCCUGGGGCUCAACCCCGGGUCGGCCGUGCGAACUGCUGGGCUUGAGCACUGUAGAGGCAGGCGGAAUUCCGGGUGUAGCGGUGGAAUGCGUAGAGAUCCGGAAGAACACCGGUGGCGAAGGCGGCCUGCUGGGCAGUUGCUGACACUGAGGCGCGACAGCGUGGGGAGCAAACAGG